UGGGGAAUAUUGCACAAUGGGGGAAACCCUGAUGCAGCGACGCCGCGUGAACGAAGAAGGUAUUCGUAUCGUAAAGUUCUGUCCUAUGGGAAGAUAAUGACAGUACCAUAGAAGAAAGCUCCGGCUAAAUACGUGCCAGCAGCCGCGGUAAUACGUAUGGAGCGAGCGUUGUCCGGAAUUAUUGGGCGUAAAGGGUACGCAGGCGGUUUAAUAAGUCGAAUGUUAAAGAUCGGGGCUCAACCCCGUAAAGCAUUGGAAACUGAUAAACUUGAGUAGUGGAGAGGAAAGUGGAAUUCCUAGUGUAGCGGUGAAAUGCGUAGAUAUUAGGAGGAAUACCAGUAGCGAAGGCGACUUUCUGGACACAAACUGACGCUGAGGUACGAAAGCGUGGGGAGCAAACAGG
rnacentral:rRNA from 1 species